CUGAGUACACCAAAUAGGAUGCAAGCACUGUCAUGACAAAUAUACAGAAAUAUGCAGAUCAACAUAAAACAGUAAUACAAAGGCAGGUUUCCCAGGAGAAAUUUAUAGGAAGUAGUCUGGGGUGCGCCGUGUAACAUGAGGCUCACCACGACGAGGCGCUGGGUCAAAUUGAAGGCUGUAAAUGGCAAAAAAGGAAGCAAAUAAAGGAUCUGACUUUGCAAAGAAAACAAAUGAAUAAAGAACAAGACACUGUAGUAGAAACAGCAGUCCUGCUUUCCCACCAUGACUACAUCACUUACGGCUGGAAUGGCCAUGGGCAAAUCACUGCAGAUGCUCCCAUUCCAACUAACUGCUUCAUAGGGCUAUGGUGAAAAUUUAAGAAGACAGAAUGUCUGGUUUGGUGCCUGGCAUAACAAUUUCUAAAUGUUAUUAUUAUUUAAAAGCUUAAAUAAUUAAAGAUUAAAUAAUAUCAAGUUUAAAUAAUUAAACAAUAAUUGUUUAAUAUUAUUUAAUAAUAAUAAUAAUAUCACUUUUUUUUUUUUUUUUUUUGAGGCAGAGUCUUGCUCUGUCGCCCAGGCUGGAGUGCACUGGCACGAUCUCGGCUUAUUGCAAGCUCCGCCUCCUGGGUUCAUACCAUUCUCCUGCCUCAGCCUCCUGAGUAGCUGGGACUACAGGAACCCAUUACCAUGCCCGGCUAAUUUUCUUAUUUUUUUUUAGUAGAGACGGGGUUUCACCGUGUUAGCCAGGAUGGUCUCAUCUCCUGACCUCAUGAUCCACCCGCUUCGGCCUCCCAAAGUGCUGGGAUUACAGGCGUGAGCCACCGCGCCAGGCCUAAUAUCACUAUUUUCUUGAGUGUUUCUGGCUAGUGGAUUUUUCCAAUUAUUUUUGUGCCUCUAUUGAGAUGAUCAUGUGUUUUUUAAUCCCUUAAUAUUAAUAUGGUUUAUUAUAUUGAUUUUCAUGUUUUGAACCAACCUAGCAUUCCUGGGAUAAAUCCCACUUGCUCAUGGUGUAUAAUCUUUUUACAUAUUGCUAGAUCCAGGUUGCUGGUACGUAUGUUGGAAAAUUUUAUAUCUGUAUUCGUAACAAAUGCUGGUCUGUUUUUGCCUUUGUCUACUUUUGGUAUCAAGGAUAAUAGUGCAGGUGUGACAGAAUGAAUGCAGUAGUCCUCCUCUUCUGUUUUUUGGAAGUGUUUGUGAAGGAUUGGCAUUAACUCGUUUUUAUUUUUGAGACAGGGUCUCACUCUGUUGCCCAAGCUGGAGUGCAGUGGUGUGAUCAUGGCUCACUGUAGCCUCAACCUCCCUGGGCUCAGGUGAUCCUCCCACUUCAGCUUCCUGAGUAGCUGAGACUAUAGGCUGAGCCACCACACCAGGUUAAUUUUUGUAUUCUUUGUAGAUACAGGGUUUUACCAUGUUACCCAGGCUGAUCUUGAAUCCUGGGCUCAAUCUGCCUGCCUUGGCUUCCCAAAGUGCUAGGAUUACUGGUUAGAGCCACCGCACCUGGCCAAUUCCUUUCUUUAAACAUUUGGUGGACUUCAUCAAUGAAGCCAAUUGGGCUUGGCCUUUUAUUUGUGGGGAGUUUUAACUUUUUCACUCAUUUAUUUAUAUUCUUUUAAAUUAAAUAGGGACAAGGUCCUGCUAUGUUGUCCAGGCUGGUCUCAAACUCCUAGUCUCAAGCAAUCCUCUCAGCUUGGCCUCCCAAAGCUGGGAUUUAUAGGUGUGAGCCACCAUGCUGGCUCAAUAUUUUCACAUUUGAAAGGUCAUUCAGAUUUCAUAUUUCUUGAGUCAGUUUCAGUAGUUUCUUUUUAGGAAUUAGUACGUUUUAUCAAAGUUACUGAAUUUGCUGGCAUAUAGUUAUUUAUUGUAUUCCCUUAUAAUCCUUUUUAUUUCAGUAAGGUCUCUAGUGAUUUGGUAAUGUGAGUCUUUACUCCUUUUUUUCUUGGCCAGUCUAGUUAAGGCUUUUCAAAGCAUCAACUUUGGGUUUUGUUGAUUUUUCUGUAAUGAUUUUCUACUGUUUGUUUAUUUCUACUCUAAACCUCGUUUCAUAAGCUUACAUCAGGUUUAGUUUACUCUGCUUUUUCUAGGUCCUCAAGUAUAAAGAUAGGUUACUGAUUUCAAAUCUUCUUGUUUUUUUUUUUGUUUUUUUCUUUCUGAGACAGGGUCUUUGCUCUGUUGCCUAGGCUGUAGUGUAGUGCUGUGAUCAUAGCUCAUUGCAGCCUUGAUCAACUGGGCUCAAGUGAUCCUCCAUCUCAGCCUCCCAUACAGCUGAGACUACAGGUGCUUGGCACCAUACCUGGCUAAUUUUUAAAUUUUUUUGUAGAGACGGGGUCUCCCUAUGUUGCCCAGGCUGGCCUCAAGUGAUCCUCCUACUUUGGCUUCCCAAAGUGUUGGGAUUACUUGUGUGAGCCACAGCAUCCAGCCAUGUUAAUGAUUUCUAAUUUCAUUUCCUUGUGUUUGGAGAAUAUCCUUUUAAGAAUCUAAUCUUCUUAAAUUGCCUGAGGCAUGUUUUACAGUCUAGCAUAUGACUAUGUUUCAUGUUUACUUGAGAGGAAAGUAUUCUGCUGUUGUUGGGUGUUGUUUUACAGACAUGAGGUAUACAGUCAGUUUACAGUGUUGCUCAAGUCUUCUCCUGCCUUCAUCUCCUGCCUAGUUGUUCUAUCCAAGAGAAACAGUUUCUGUUGCUUAGUUUUUUCCUGUGUAGAGGUCACACUUCCUUGUUCUUUCCAUGUCUUAUAAUCUGUGGUUGAAAAAUUGGACAUUAUAGAUAACAUAUUGCAGUAGCUCUGGAAUUCAUGUCCUUGGGGACUGAUCUUGUCUUUUUGGUGGUUUAUUAUUUUUGUUUAGUGACUUAGCUGAACUAACUGUAAAGUCUACUUCCCCCAUAGUGUGCAGCCCCUGUGGCCCUGCUCGGAUGUUUUUACUUUUUUUUUUUUUUUUUGAGUUUCACUUUUGUUGCCCAGGCUGGACUGCAAUGGCGUGAUCGCCGCCGCCUCCCAGGUUCAAGCGAUUCUCCUGCCUCAGCCUCCUGAGUAGCUGGGAUUACAGGCAUGCGCCACCACACCCAACUAAUUUUGUAUUUUUAAUAGAGACUGGGUUUCUCCAUGUUGGUCAGGCUGGUCUUGAACUCCCGACCUCAGGUGAUCCGCCCACCUCGGCUUCCCAAAGUGCUGGGAUUACAGGCAUGAGCCACCGUGCCUGACCGUUUUUACUUCUUUUAAUCUUUCACAGCCUGGCUACUGAGGGGCUGUCUCUGGGUAGGCAUAAGCCACUUACUGAUCAAAGAUUGUACUUAAGCCCCCUUGGCCAGUUAGAUCUUAAAGCUCACCCUAAUGGCCACCGGAAAUGUUAUGUGACUUGCAGAUUGCUAUCAAAGCUGAAGGAGUUUAUAUUUUGGCUUCCCAUUCAGCCAGGGACUAAUAGUUGGAUCUUCAUACUGCACUCAGUCCAGAGAGGGUAUAACCUUGGGCAUGCACAUAUUCUGCCAGACUGUCAGGGAUGAGUGUGAUUUUAUUUUAAAGCCUGACUACCUAGGAGGUGCUCCUGGAUCAGAGUAACUGAAUGUCGUUCAGUCAAUGAUGAGAGGUUGUGUUUAAGCCUCACAUACUAGUGAUGGUUACACCAUUUGUUGAUCAAUCUACUUAUCCAUUUCCUGGGGCUGCCGUAACAAAUUACCGAACUGUAUAGCUUAUACAACGGGGAUUUAUCCUCUCACAGUUCUGGAGGCUACAAGUCUGAAAGCAAGAUGCUGGGAGGACCACGCUCUCUCUGAAGGCUCUAGGAAAAAUCCUUCCUAGCCUCUCCCUAGCUUCUGAUGGCUCUGGCAAUCCUUAGCUGGUAGAUGCAUCACUUGAAUCUCUGGCUUCACACAGCAUUCUCCCCUGUGUGUGUUUCUUUUCCUCUUACUAAAAUCCCAUUCGAAUUGGAUUUAGGCCCACCCUAAUCCAGUACAAUCUCAUCUUUAAUAAUUAUAUCUGUAAAGAUCCUAUUUCCAAAUAACAUCACAUUUUGAGGUUCUGGGUGGACAUGAAUUUUUUUGGGGGGACAUUAUUCAACUCAGUACAAUCUAUGUGUGGCUUGAAAAUAUUAUAUGAAUACCCCACAUCCUACUCUUGACUGCUCCUGAGUGGGUAUGGCUAGUGCAUGUGCACAGCCUUCUUGUCCCCCAGGGCUGACUGUGAUCCCAGAAGGGCUCUUCUUGGCUUUUUCCCUGGUGCUAUUUGUUGAACAACAUGUUGCUCUGCUCUUUUGUAUGUUGCUCCUAGUAUCAUGGGAGCUAUUACAGCCCUCUUAAUUGGUCUCCACCAUGACAUCUACUGCUUUCCACAAAGCACUCAGAUUUGGAAUUCUCCAUCACCUAAGUAAGAUAAGUCCUCUGAGGCAGAGCUGAGGAACUUCUGUGACCUGCCUUUCCUCCUGAGCAGAACUUCUGUGCCAGUGCAGGCUCAGUGAUACCACCUGGUUUAUAAGCAGGUGCUGGGGUAACAGCAUUGGGAAACCCAGCAUUCUCAUCUGCCAUGCAUGCCUGGAGCAGAGCUUCUGCCCCAGGAGCUGGGGCAGGGAAGGGGGCCUCAGCCUGCUUGACUGUGUCUACCAGGAGUAGAGCUUUUGUAACUCCAGACUAGGAGAGGUGAGAUAUGCUGGCAUCUGAUCUCUGGGAGUGAACCCACAGCCCCAGCCCUGGGAGCUGAUGAAGAGGGGGAAUCCCUUAGCCUCCUGACUAUACCAACCCAGCGUAGAGCGCCUGUAGUCGUUUCUGUGAGAGGGAUCUGGGAGGAGUUGGAGGGGGCAAGUCAUAGCUCAAAUGCCACAGACUACGGCUAUUAUUACUGAGAUUUAGUAGGUUUUCUUGAAUUAACUGUUUCUCCACCUGCUGUAUGCCCUUAGGACAAUUUCCAAAAGCUUUGAAAAAUUAUUUUUUAAAAAUAAUGUUCUCCAGCUAAUGGUUAUUUUUGCUGGAGAGG
rnacentral:lncRNA from 10 species